AGAGUUUGAUCAUGGCUCAGGAUGAACGCUAGCGGCAGGCUUAACACAUGCAAGUCGAGGGGCAGCGCGGGGUAGCAAUACUCUGGCGGCGACCGGCGGAAGGGUGCGUAACGCGUGAGCAACUUGCCCGUCACUGGGGGAUAGGCACUGGAAACGGUGUGUAAUACUCCAUAACAUAUGGAUUCACAUGGAUUUAUAUUGAAAGAUUCGUUGGUGACGGAUGGGCUCGCGUAACAUUAGCUAGUCGGCGGGGUAACGGCCCACCGAGGCUACGAUGUUUAGGGGUUCUGAGAGGAAGGUCCCCCACACUGGAACUGAGACACGGUCCAGACUCCUACGGGAGGCAGCAGUGAGGAAUAUUGGUCAAUGGGCGGAAGCCUGAACCAGCCAUGCCGCGUGCAGGAAUAAGGCCCUAUGGGUCGUAAACUGCUUUUCCUUGAGGGCAAUAAGGGUCACGUGUGGUCCGAUGAGAGUAUCAGGGGAAUAAGCAUCGGCUAACUCCGUGCCAGCAGCCGCGGUAAUACGGAGGAUGCGAGCGUUAUCCGGAUUUAUUGGGUUUAAAGGGUGCGUAGGCGGAUUAUUAAGUCAGUGGUGAAAUACCCGUGCUCAACAUGGGCCGUGCCAUUGAUACUGGUAGUCUAGAGUUCCGUUGCCGUGGGAGGAAUGAGUAGUGUAGCGGUGAAAUGCAUAGAUAUUACUCAGAACACCGAUUGUGAAGACAUCUCACGAAGCGGCGACUGACGCUGAGGCACGAAAGCGUGGGGAUCGAACAGGAUUAGAUACCCUGGUAGUCCACGCAGUAAACGAUGAUGACUAACCGUUGGAAAGCAAUUUUCAGUGGCCAAGUGAAAGCGAUAAGUCAUCCACCUGGGGAGUACGACCGCAAGGUUGAAACUCAAAGGAAUUGACGGGGGCCCGCACAAGCGGAGGAACAUGUGGUUUAAUUCGAUGAUACGCGAGGAACCUUACCCGGGCUCGAACGGCAAGUGAAGAGAACCAGAGAUGGUGACGCCCUUCGGGGCACUUGUCGAGGUGCUGCAUGGUUGUCGUCAGCUCGUGCCGUGAGGUGUCGGCUCAAGUGCCAUAACGAGCGCAACCCUUGCCGUCAGUUACCAGCACGUAGAGGUGGGGACUCUGGCGGGACUGCCACCGCAAGGUGAGAGGAAGGGGGGGAUGACGUCAAAUCAGCACGGCCCUUACGUCCGGGGCGACACACGUGUUACAAUGGUGGGUACAGAGGGAAGCCAUGUGGCGACACAGAGCGGAACCCAAAAACCCAUCUCAGUUCGGAUCGGAGUCUGCAACCCGACUCCGUGAAGCUGGAUUCGCUAGUAAUCGCGCAUCAGCCAUGGCGCGGUGAAUACGUUCCCGGGCCUUGUACACACCGCCCGUCACACCAUGGGAGUCGCGAAUGCCCAAAGCUGGUGACUUAACCGCAAGGAGAGAGCCAUCUAAGGCAGGCGUGGUAACUGGGGUGAAGUCGUAACAAGGUAGCCGUAUCGGAAGGUGCGGCUGGAUCACCUCCUU
rnacentral:rRNA from 1 species